UACAGAGGGUGCGAGCGUUGUCCGGAAUCACUGGGCGUAAAGGGCGCGUAGGCGGCAAGGCAAGUCAGGUGUGAAAGCCCCGAGCUUAACUCGGGAAUUGCAUCUGAAACUGCUGUGCUUGAGUUCUGGAGGGGGUAGUGGAAUUCCCAGUGUAGCGGUGAAAUGCGUAGAUAUUGGGAGGAACACCUGCGGCGAAGGCGGCUACCUGGACAGAAACUGACGCUGAGGCGCGAAAGCUAGGGGAGCGAACGGG
rnacentral:rRNA from 1 species